UGUUUUGGGCUCUGGUUCCCUCGACCUUCCAGACAUAGCACCACAAAGUAGCCAUCUUAUCAACAUGCAAUCAUCACCUUGGUUUACCCUUUGGAGUGCCUGUGCAGCAAAAGAAACCUUUUUGUCUAUAAAUGUGAAACUGGGGGGGCAAACACGAUGGUCUAAAGAUGGUCAUAUCUUGGCUUCAGCACAGCUUUGUUUACCUCAGACAAAUAGCUUUGUCCCUCAUGUAUGUUUCCUCAGCCUGAUCCUGUUCACCCCUCUAUCUUCUGAAUUAUCUUACCGCUCACAAGUCACUGCCAUCUUCAGGUUAUAGCAUUAUCCAGGAGCCCACUAGUCUCUGAACAUGUUGGUGAUAGUGUAAUCAUUAGCAAGAACAAGGACUGGCAAAUCAAAGUAAACACUCGAUCGGGAACAAUUGACAGCUGGAAGGUAUGUUGUGGCGGACCAAAAAAGAAGUUUCGUUUGCUUUACCUUUCUGUUCGCACAUUUGAUUCUGCAUCAUAACCUAGGAGGCAAGUGGAGGAUAAACUUACAAGACAUACAAAGGAAGCGAUGGCUCAAAAGUCAAAAUUGAGUUUCCUUUCCUAAACAGAUAAAAGGUGUAAAUCGAGUGGCCUGUAGUCCACACUUAAAAUGGGACCUGUCGGUAUUUUUAUGUUAACGUGGCUUAUUAUACCUCACACUAGGCAUUUGUUUUCUAAAUUUAGCGAUCUGCCGGAGAGAGAGAGAGAGAGGGAGGGAGGGCUUAGGCCCAUGAAAUAGGGAAAAUGUUUUUCCUUUUUACUGGAACCCCAUAAAUUCCAAAAUAAAAAUACAAACGAGCUCUGGAAAUUCAAAUAAAUAAAUAAAUAAAUAAAUAAUUGUGUAUUUUGAUAUGCUGAAUCAAAUAAACUACCAACAAUCCAAACUAGCAAGCUAAAGCGGUUCCAUUUAAUAUGUAUACCUGCACUUAUCUGAAAUUCUUAUGUACUCCCUCCGUCUAACAAAAGAUGUCCCAAGUUUGUCAAAAUUUGAAUGUAUCUAGACAUGACUUACUGUAUAGAUGCAUUCAAAUUUAGUCAAAGUCGAGACAUCCUUUGUUGGACGGAGGGAGUAUAAAAUUUUCAUUUUCCUUGUGGUCCGAGUAACUGCAGACAGGCUAUUCAAUCGUUAGUUAUUACAGUCAUCUUGGCUUGUCAAACUCAAGAUACGGCUCAAACCUUUUAUCAGCGUCAUUACCAAGUCGUUUAUUAAAAUCUGAAACUCAUGAUACUUGUCUGAACCACAGAUCAACAACAUUGAGCUUUUGAGCAAGGGGAUACUUCCUUGCUUUUGGCGUGCACCAACUGACAAUGACAACGGGGGCUUCUACACCAAGUCCUAUGCUACGAGAUGGCGAGAAGCCUUCCUCGACAACAUCGUCUUUCGCAGCAGCCAGUUUUCAGUGAAGGAGCUACCGGACCAUGCCGUCGAGAUUUCUACCACAUAUUAUGGUCUUCCUGGUCACUUGGUAAAACCGGACGACGCUGCUCUUUCAGAAGCUCCCGAGUCCACACUUUUCCAGGUCCCCAUGCGCUGCCGGAUGUACGAGUCAGGUGACGUGAUACUCGAAUACGAGGUAAACCCCAAGAGUGACCUCCCCCCUCUCCCGAGAAUCGGCAUCGUCUUCAACACGGAGAAAUCCCUGAGCCACGUCACGUGGUACGGGAGGGGCCCGUUCGAGUGCUACCCCGACCGCAAGGCCGCCGCGCAUGUUGGCGUGUACGAGAGCAGCGUGGAGGACCUCCAUGUCCCCUACAUCGUCCCAGGCGAGUGCGGUGGCCGCGCGGACGUCAGGUGGACGGCGCUCCGGAAUGCCGAGGGGUUCGGCCUGUUCGCCUCGGUCCACGGCGAGUCCCCACCGAUGCAGAUGAGCGCCAGCUACUAUGGCGCCGCGGAGCUGGACCGGGCAACCCACAAACACAAGCUGGUCAAGGGAGAUGACAUCGAGGUUUGUUUUGCAUCCAUCCGGUCACCGUGGUUCGGACUUCAGACACUGUUGCCUGUUGCACUGGGAUAGCAGACUGAUGCUUGAAAUGGCCUACAUUUUGCAGGUGCACCUUGAUCACAGGCACAUGGGGCUGGGAGGGGACGACAGCUGGACGCCGUGCGUGCACGAGCAGUACCUGCUGCCGCCGGACCGCCGCUACGCCUUCUCCGUGAGGCUCCGUCCGUUGCUGCCGUCGACGUCGUGCGAUGACAUCUACCGCUCUCAGCUCCCCCAUUGAUUCAGAGGGAGAAAGCAACUGAAAGAUGGAAACAAACAAAUAAACGCCGAGUCGCGUUCGCUAGCUCACUGUAAUGUAAUUGGCCACAGGGUACCUGUCAAUAAAAGAAGCGAGCGUGAUGUUGCGCUGCUCUGCAAUAAAUGAGAAACGACUUCUCUUUGUGGAUCUUUUUGGCGCCAGCCAUUGGUAAUUUAACCGGGGCAGGUUUGUUGUUUGUGUGGUGUAUUAAGGGCCUGUUUUGUUUUCAACGCUAGCAUUUCUCAUCAGAUGUUUUGAGGGCCUUUUGGAUCACAGGAACUAUGAAACAUAGAAACAGUGAAUAUAAAGCACAUAAAUGAGAUUGAGAUGUCACGUGGCUAAUAGAGAAAGUGGAUAUUUCAGUCAAAAAUACAGAAUGGAUAGUCAGCACUUAGGAAGAGAAAAUGUACUCAGCUUAUCAGAGACAUUUGAGCUACUCCGUAUAUAGUUUUUUUUUUAAAUCUUUUGGACAGGAAGGUUUGAGCUCAUAUUAGUUCCCUUCUGAAACUGAAUUCGAAAUCCUCCAGACUCCCUGUAGAAAUCCUAUAUACGGAGUAGAAUCCAAAAAAAGACCCUGAAUAAUCAAGUCCCGCAGUUCAGGCCCAACACAGAUACUCAGCUGAGCGCGCAGGGACACCCACCAAUGGCCGCCCAGAGCGCUCUCCUCGCCGCCGGCGCCGCGGCGGUCGCCAUCGCCGCCGCCGUUUUCCUCCUCCCUAGUCCCGCCUCUCACCUCGCAUGUACGCACACCUCCUCCUCCUCCUUCUCUCUCCCCAGUCACGCUCCCACUAAACGGGUUAACAUACGCGCCAUUUGCCCGCGGCGGAAGCUCAGUCCGUCUCCUGUUCCCUUCGCAGGGCCACCGUGGGGCCACUUCGCCGACAUGAUACUGGCCAACGCCACCAUCUACACCGCCGACCCCGCCCGCCCUUUCGCCGCCGCGAUGGCCGUCAGCGGCGGCCGCGUGCUCCGCGUCGGCAGCUACGACUCCGUGAAGGUGAUUUCACCCCCAUCCCCAGAGAUUACCUACAGUUCGUUUUGCUCGUGCUGCUAGCUGCAGCUGUUUCCGGCUUUCUGCGCCGUUUCGCUCAAAAUGGUAGGCUCCUGUCUGUGAGUGCAGGAACUGAGGGGUCGACACACACGUGAACUGAAUCUUAGUGGGAACGUUGUGCUCCCCGGAUUUAUCGACUCCCAUGUGCACCUAAUCGACGGUGGCUUGCAGGUAGUGCCGCUGCCUGCCUAUAUGCCUCCCCUUUGCAAUUGCCAUCAUGGCAUGCCUAGGCAGCCAAUGUAAUUACAACUCCAAUUGUACAGUCGUGUAGACUUGUUUUCAGUAUGUACUGCUUUUCUGAAAUUUGCUGCAGUUGGCGAGGGUGCCGCUUCGAGGGGUUAGAAGCAAAGAGGACUUCAUCAGCAGGGUCAAGGAAGCUGUCAGAGGUUCUGUCAGAUUACUAUGUUGAAUUAGCCGUCUCGAAUUGCCUUGUAGAGUUGUACUGUUUAUCUAUCCACUUAGCUAUUUCCCGUUUAGCCAAUUAUAGAAUGAUCUAACUCAGGAUGACACAUUGCUGUUGCUUUGCAUUUGAAUAAUUUCGACCAGCUUUAGGUUAUAUGCACAUUAUUCGAACAUAUCUUCACAUAUAGUCUGUUCAGAGUAUCUUAAAAUUGGUUGGUGUUACUGAAUCUCUCUGCAAUAUUACUAGUAUCCGCGUCUCUGAGACUUGUUUUCCAAACAGAUAAGCAUCAUGGGCAGUGGCUAUUAGGUGGAGGUUGGAACAAUGAUGGCUGGGGAGGUGAUUUCCCCACUGCUGCUUGGUUUGAUGAUAUAUCUCCUGAUAAUCCAGUGUGUUCUCAAAACUCAUGAGUUGGACCUCUUUCGUGAAGCCACUACAAAGGGACAGCUAGUGACUCACUUGGAUUGCAGGUAUGGCUCUCACGCAUGGAUGGUCACAUGGGAGUAGCUAAUUCGCUAGCUAUGAAGAUUGCUGGGAUUGACAAAAACACAAAAGAUCCAGUUGGUGGAACUAUUGUAAGAACAACUGAAAGAGGUAACUUUUGUAUUAAACUGAUUUGGUUAACGUGGACCUUUACCCCUUUACCGGCCUGAAAUGACUUCCUAAGCAAACCUUGAACCAAGACAUAUCUCUGUAGCAGGCAUGCAGAAAGUCUUAUUUUAAACUAGUGCAAGUAUUUGUCAUUAUAUAAAGGCAAGAAAGAACUAACCAAAUUUUCUGACCCGUAUCAUUCUUUGCAGAGCCCAGUGGUCUUCUUGUUGAUGCUGCUAUGAAGCUUGUAUUUGAUGUUAUUCCAGAAGUCUCCAUAAAUGAAAGAAGAGAGGCCCUCUUCAGAGCUAGUAGACAUGCCCUAAUGAGGGGGGUGACCACUGUUGUUGAUGUUGGAAGUUACUUCCCUGGGAUGUCAGAAAAGCAAACUUGGCAAGAUUUUUCAGGUACCACAUUCCUCUUUUUCUUCUGAUAUUGCUAUUACGAGAAAUGGAAUCUCAGAUAUAAAGUAUCCUACAAAUAUCUACAGUACAGUUGAUAACAGAACAUAUUUAUAGAUCCAGAUAUACCACUGCAUUAUAUAUUGAUUAUUGAAAUGGGCAUGCCCACUGUUGAAAUCUUGAUUUUUUUGACAUACAGAACACAAAUUUUCUUUUGCCAUUUUUUCUUGCCGUAAUGGGAGUUUGCACCCAAUUGAUAAAAUUUAGAUUCUGUAAUUAUUAUCUGGCCUAUAUGGCUGUGGGACAUCUUUGUCCAGAAUUAAGGAUUCCUCUACCAAUUCAAGUAAAAAAAACCAUAUUGCCUGUGCCACGAUCAAAAUCUACGUAGUGCUACACGGUAUUUUUUGUUCUCCAGAUUAUUCCAAAUUUCCAAUGUGAUUAUUUUGAAGGAUCAAAGGAUCUACUUUUGCAGUUUUUCAUCUAUAAUAUUAUUUGUGCCCUGACGUUAGUACUCUGCUUACGUCGUAGCAGAUAUCUAUGAAUGGGCUCAUUCUAUGGGAAAGAUGAUGAUCAGAGUCUGCUUAUUUUUCCCAAUGCCCACAUGGUCUCGUGUUUCUGUAAGUUAUGUUUCAUGAAGUAGGCCAGUCUCUUCUGUGUUAGUUGAUUUAUUUUCUGUAUAUAUAUGCUAUACUUAUGUACUUAUUAUCUUCUGUAGGAUCUUAUCCAUGAAAAAGGUCAAUUGUUCAGCGAAUGGAUUCAUCUAGGUGGUGUCAAAGCUUUUCUUGAUGGUUCUCUAGGUUCUUCAAGUGCAUUGUUCUAUGGGGUAAAUAAUCAUGAGUAUUAAAAGAGUACUUUACCAACAUAUUCAUUUUAGUGCAUUAAUAGUUUACCGAUGUAGAAAUGCAUUUAUAUUGACCAUAGCAAUGCUGUCCUUUUUUUGGGGGGGGGGGGGGGGGGGGGUAUGGUUACUCUGUUUGUGCUCGUGUGCAAAAUGUGUCUGUUUGCCACCUUACGACAUCAUUGUAUUAAUUUCUGCUAUUAACACUAGUUCUGUCCCAGGUUUUUGUAUCUACAUAGUUCUUUGCUAAAUGAGUUCCUGUUCUGUAGUUUAUUUCGUCAUGUAAAAGUUCAUAUUAGCAGUGUACUUUUAUGUUGUGUUUUGUAAGUGUUUAGUGAAUCAUUACAGCCUUAUAAGGAUGAUGAUGGCAAUUUCGGUCUUCAAUUGAUAGAUAUGGAUGUUCUGCUCAAUGCAACAUUAGAAUCAGAUAAAUCAGGACUUCAGGUACAUGUUUUCCAUCUGUACACUUGUGCUUAAAUUUUGCUUACAACAAUUUGAGAAAGUGAUGAUGUUCCUUUUCAGGUUGCCAUACAUGCAAUUGGAGAUAAAGCUAAUGAUUUGCUGCUGGAUAUGUUAGACGAGGUUGUUAAUUUGAAUGGAAUGAAGGACCGUAGGUUCCGGGUAUGUUUUCGCAUACUGGAGAAAAUAUUUUGCUCUCACGUGAACUUUGUAGUAUAGUUAGUUAAUAAGCUGGAUAGAAUUUGAACUUGUUGCAUGUGAAAUCAGAUUGAGCAUGCCCAGCAUCUGACCCCAGGCGCAGCAAAACGCUUUGGAAAACAUGGUACCAUUGCAUCCGUGCAGGUCAUCCACCGUCUUCCAUUUUCUAUUCUCUGUAAUGCUUCAUAUUUUUAUUGAUACAAUCAAUGUGGAUUCAUAGCAACAACUUCUGAAAGAUCUGCUUGUUUUUGGCAGCCAGAUCAUAUAUUGGACGAUGCCAACUCUGCCGGAAAGAAGAUUGGGGUAGAGCGAGCUGAACGGAAUUCAUAUUUGUUCCGAUCACUAUUGGCUGGUGGUGCACAUCUGGCUUUUGGUUCUGAUUGGCCUGUGUGUAUUUCCCUAAAUUUCUUCAGUAAACAAGAAUAUAGCAUUUUUGUGGUGGGAAAAUUAUGCAGCCAGUUAACUGUAUCUGUAACUGUUUUCUAGGUUUCGGACAUUUAUCCCUUAAAAGCUAUUCAAACUGCAAUGUCCCGUAAGCCGCCUGGACAGGAAGCACCUUGGAUCCCUACGGAAUGCUUGGCCCUAGAUGAUUCCUUGAAAGCGUAAGACUCUUUGCAGUUAUGUUCCACUUAUAUAUACAACAUGCAUAUCUCACUAACAUCUUGGCUCUGGAGUCUGGACCUGGUAGCCAUUCUCUCUUGGCACUGAUGAUUUCUCCAACGAAGAACUAAGUAGAGUCGAAGGGUACCCUAAUGGUGACCCAUUUGCAUCUCUAGCUAGAUCUCUAUACUGCAAACUCCGCAAAUGAAUUUACAAACUUUUGCAUGAUAAAUAUUAUCUGCGCAAGUAGUGUACCUCCUACUACACAUGCUUAUGAAGUAUGACUAACCUGCAAAAACUCACAAUCUGUGUUGUCUGUACUAAGGGGAAUCCUCUCUAACGCAGGCAUACGAUAUCUGCUGCUUAUGCCUGCUUCCUUGACCGUGUCCUGGG
rnacentral:lncRNA from 1 species